CUUCUCUCUCUGCGGGUGGCUGACUAAAACAACUUCUCUGUCCUCUUUCCGGUUUCUAACCUCAAACAUAAAACGAAAAAAGACGAUAAAAUGAGCUGCUCUGAGUGUCCACGGAGCUCCAGGAGAAGGUCUGCAAAUGGAUGAUGAAGAUGCAACAACCUGACCAUGUCUCAGGACCGCACUACAUCUGGCUGCAGCAGCUACCACUGAAGCCCUGAGCUGAUGGUGAACUUGGACGCACUAAUCUGUCUCAGGGCACUGAAGGAACGCUUCAAUUCAGUACUUUGGACUACUUUAUGGUGAAGUUUAAACUCAGGCCUCUAGAUGGAGACUUCAGACAUGAGGUCUUCCCCACUGAAAGGAGAUGGCAGUGACGUCCUCUCAGCUGGAAAGGAUGUGGUGGCCCAAGAUGGAUGAUAUCUGGACACGAUGUGUGGAUCGGCUUCACAGGCACUGCGACUCGAGUUUGGACACGCUUCAAAGAUCAGCGCAUCGAAGCAGUGACUGUCAAGAUGCAUUCAGUCAUCUUUAAUGAGCAGUUCAAGAGCUGCUUGUCUUUACACAUCAAAUAAAAGCAUCAACACAGA